AAGUCGUAACAAGGUUUCCGUAGGUGAACCUGCGGAAGGAUCAUUAACACAUCAAUUUCAAAACAAUACCUAGAGCACAGAACGAUACCGCAAGAUGGUGGGACGCUUGGCGCAAUGGUUUAGAGCCCGAAUCCUAAUUGGUUUGGGCUGGCGCUGACGGCCUGCUGCCGGGGGGCAACCGGGCUCUCCUCUUUCGAGAGGGGCUGCUUGGACGCUUGCAUAGCCGGUCAAAAGCCUAUUGUCGGUAAUUUCAGUCUCUACCAUGGCUGGCCUUUUUUUUCAUUUUAACCUGCAGCUACUUACUGAUUUUCGGCUUCGGAUCGAGAGGAGCAAUCCUUUCUCUGAGGUCUCACGGAUUUUCAAUCCAAAACACAACUCUUAACAGCGGAUAUCUCGGUUCUC
rnacentral:misc_RNA from 1 species